UACGGAGGGUGCAAGCGUUAAUCGGAAUUACUGGGCGUAAAGCGUGCGCAGGCGGUUUGUUAAGUCCGCUGUGAAAUCCCCGAGCUCAACUUGGGAAUUGCAGUGGAUACUGGCAAGCUGGAGUAUGGUAGAGGAAGGUGGAAUUCCCGGUGUAGCAGUGAAAUGCGUAGAGAUCGGGAGGAACACCAGUGGCGAAGGCGAUCGGCUGGGGUUGUUCUGACGCUGAGGAGCGAAAGCUAGGGGAGCAAACGGG
rnacentral:rRNA from 1 species